ACCGCCCCUUCUCUCUCUGUCUUAUCCCUUUCCUCUAGUGAAGCUCGGCCACUGUUUCUUCCUCUAGUGAAGCUCCGCCACUGUUUCCCCAAAUCCACAAGACUGCUCCGGCCGAGCCAGCUGCAAGGGAUGGCCGGAGGGUGCAGCUGCUGCGAGAGCUGACCGGAGACGGCGCAGCAUCACCGCCACACGUAUCUCGCUGCUAGCAGCAGGGAGACGGCGAAGUACACAAGAAGCAGAGCAACGGCGAGAUCCACGAGCUUGACGACAACGGCAAGCUGGAGUCUCCUCCCGACGAGCUCGACAAGGAAUACGACGACGGCGAUGUCCCGGAGCAGCACGGCCGACCUGGACGAGGAGGAGGGUAGCAACCAGACGAGGGGCAUGCCUGGGCCGCCGGGCUAUCUUAUGGCUGCAGGAGGCCUCUGACGGCAGGGUCGCGACAGCUGGACCUCGGCGCCCUCCUGCCUGGCCAAGCCCCAGUAGCAAAACCAAAGAUGCUGUCCAACCAAGUUUGUGUUUCCACAUUGCUUCUUAUGGCAUUGAAAGCUUCUUCAAAGGCUUCCUCUUCCUCAUACUUGUACAUGCAAGCACUGAAAUCAGCAAGUACAUUUGGUCCUUCCUCGUCUUUUUUCUUAUGAGGUACAAUUCCUGAAUCAUCUGCUGUUUCAAUUUCAAAUGCUUGCAAGGCCGAAAUUUUCCUCUGUGAUGGCAUCAAGUGGCUUGUCCCAGGAGAAGGACAACAAAAGAGAGAUCGUCUGCAUUAAUCUCCUGUCAUGUUUUGGAAAUCCCAGAAGGAAGACAAAAGGGAGAUAAUCUUCAUCGCCUACAGAUCAGCUUGCCUUGGUUUCACUCUGAACAUGGGGGAUGAUCAGAAGAGAGAUAAGGCAAAAGGGAGUUGAUCUCGCCACCUACAGACCACAGAUGAACGUACCUCCGCCAUGUUCUUUUACAAGGACGAACAAGAGGAACGGGGAAGAUGAGCAGGACGAAGGCAAAUAGAUCGUAGAGGAGCCGAACCCAUCGAUCGCUGUUUGUCGCCAACGCGAUUAUUAGGGUGGUGUUUUGUUUGGCGCCAAUGUGAGUCUUCGUGGUUCUGUUUGGCGCCAAUGUGAGUCUUCGUGGUUCUGUUUGGCGCCAAUCUUGCAACCGUACAAGAUUUUCUACCACAUAAUUAGGUGUUUGUUUCCAUCUAUUAACAGAAUCGGGUGGGGGUAAUGAGAGCCGUGAGAUUUAAAUGAAUGGCUGAUUUGGGUUGGUACAGUACCCGUGCAGUAAUAACGUGACUGCAGAUGAGCCG